UCGGGAAUUUUGGGCAAUGGGGGAAACCCUGACCCAGCAACGCCGCGUGAAGGAUGAAGUAUUUCGGUAUGUAAACUUCGAAAGAAUAGGAAGAAUAAAUGACGGUACUAUUUAUAAGGUCCGGCUAACUACGUGCCAGCAGCCGCGGUAAUACGUAGGGACCAAGCGUUGUUCGGAUUUACUGGGCGUAAAGGGCGCGUAGGCGGCAUGACAAGUCACUUGUGAAAUCUCUGGGCUUAACCCAGAACGGCCAAGUGAUACUGUCGCGCUAGAGUGCAGAAGGGGCAAUCGGAAUUCUUGGUGUAGCGGUGAAAUGCGUAGAUAUCAAGAGGAACACCUGAGGUGAAGACGGGUUGCUGGGCUGACACUGACGCUGAGGCGCGAAAGCCAGGGGAGCAAACGGGGAUUAGAUACCCAAGUAGUCCCUGAGCGGGCUGGCAAGGCGCAU
rnacentral:rRNA from 1 species